AUACGUAGGGUGCAAGCGUUAAUCGGAAUUACUGGGCGUAAAGCGUGCGCAGGCGGUUUUGUAAGACAGUGGUGAAAUCCCCGGGCUCAACCUGGGAACUGCCAUUGUGACUGCAAGGCUGGAGUGCGGCAGAGGGGGAUGGAAUUCCGCGUGUAGCAGUGAACUGCGUAGAUAUGCGGAGGAACACCGAUGGCGAAGGCAAUCCCCUGGGCCUGCACUGACGCUCAUGCACGAAAGCGUGGGGAGCAAACAGGAUUAGAUACCCUGGUAGUCCACGCCCUAAACGAUGUCAACUGGUUGUUGGGGAUUUAUUUUCUCAGUAACGAAGCUAACGCGUGAAGUUGACCGCCUGGGGAGUACGGCCGCAAGGUUAAAACUCAAAUGAAUUGACGGGG
rnacentral:rRNA from 1 species